AUUGAACGCUGGCGGCAGGCUUAACACAUGCAAGUCGAGCGGAGAUGAGGUGCUUGCACCUUAUCUUAGCGGCGGACGGGUGAGUAAUGCUUAGGAAUCUGCCUAUUAGUGGGGGACAACAUUCCGAAAGGAAUGCUAAUACCGCAUACGUCCUACGGGAGAAAGCAGGGGAUCUUCGGACCUUGCGCUAAUAGAUGAGCCUAAGUCGGAUUAGCUAGUUGGUGGGGUAAAGGCCUACCAAGGCGACGAUCUGUAGCGGGUCUGAGAGGAUGAUCCGCCACACUGGGACUGAGACUCGGCCCAGACUCGUACGGGAGGCAGCAGUGGGGAAUAUUGGACAAUGGGGGGAACCCUGAUCCAGCCAUGCCGCGUGUGUGAAGAAGGCCUUAUGGUUGUAAAGCACUUUAAGCGAGGAGGAGGCUACUGAGACUAAUACUCUUGGAUAGUGGACGUUACUCGCAGAAUAAGCACCGGCUAACUCUGUGCCAGCAGCCGCCGUAAGAC
rnacentral:rRNA from 1 species